GGACCAAAGAGUAAAGAUCUGUCUCAAAAAAAAAAAAAAUAAAUAAAUAAUAAAAACAAAAAUAAAUGACUGUGUGUCCUUAGGCAAGGCACUUAGCAACUCUUGAGCUUCAGUUUCAUCUGUAAACCCAGGACGUUAGCGAUUCUCCCUCUAGUGGAUGAAAUGAAGCAAUGCAGAUAGAGCCCUAAUGCAGGGUACCUGCCAGUCACUGCAGCAGCUGUGGCAAUUGUCACCUUCAUCCAGGCCCAUCCCGCUUUGAGGGCCUAGAGAGAGUGGGCCAGAGGUUAACCCCCGACUCAUCUGCCUCCCCACGCUGGGCAUCUGGGUGUGCCAGGGCGUUCCCCUGCUGGUCAGACAGGUUUUUGGGCCAGGGCGGGGCUGACCAGGGUUAAUUAGAGGGAACUGGCUAGGAGGAGCUGGGGAGGGGGCUGGGCAGAGUCCAGGCCUCCAGAGCCCCUGGAACACAGCAGGUGUGUGCUGCUAUGGGCCGGGGCUUGAACUCUGCCAGACUCAGGCGCCAAAAACGGCGCUUGCGACCUCGGGUCCAGAAGCCCAGGCAGCAGCUGCAGGUGAGUGGUCAUCAGAGAUCCCCACCCCCACCCUUGCCCCGGGCCCACGCGUCCUGUCUGCUCGGAACCUUCCCUCUAAAUCUCUGGGUCUUUCUCACUCUUCCUCCCUCACUCUCCCUUGCCUUUGUGUCUGUCUUGGACACAAGGCCCCCUUAGGCUUUCUCCCUAGGUGUCUGUCCCUCCAUCCCCAUCUCUCUGUGCCUGCCCAGUCUCAUCGGUGCCUCUCUGCCUCUGUCCCUCUGCCCUGGCCCCCACAGCGGCUCCAGCAGGAGAACCACGAGCUCCGGCGAGGCCUGGCAGCCCGAGGAGCCGAGUGGGAGGCCAGGGCCGUGGAGCUGGAAGGGGACGUGGAGGCCCUGCGGGCCCAGCUUGGGGAGCAGCGCUCGGAGCAGCAGGACAGUGGGCGAGAACGGGCACGGGCCCUCAGCGAGCUCAGCGAGCAGAACCUCCGGCUCAGCCAGCAGCUGGCUCAGGCCUCCCAGACUGAACAGGAACUUCAGAGGGAACUGGACACCCUUCGGGGACAGUGCCAGGCUCAGGCACUGGCUGGGGCAGAGCUGAGGACGCGGCUGGAGAGUCUGCAGGGGGAAAACCAGAUGCUGCAGAGCCGCCGGCAGGACCUGGAGGCCCAGAUCCGAGGCCUGCGUGAGGAGGUGGAGAAGGGCCAGGGCAGACUGCAGACCACCCAUGAGGAGUUGCUGCUGCUGAGGCGGGAGCGGCGGGAGCACAGCCUGGAGGUGACCUGCACGACUGGGGGACUACAACUGCCUGGACACUUAGCAAUGGCUUCAGGGCUUUCUGGGAGAUGAGGCCAGAGCUGGAUCACUGGGAGGCCCAGAGGCUGGCCCACAAGAACAUGGGCAUUAGCCCAUGGGCAAGUGGGAGCUACGGAAGGCUGUUGAGCAGGGGAGGCAUGCUCUUAGAGUGCAUCAGAAGAUGGAAGAGCAGGAAGCUGGAAGCUGAAAGAGCAGGGAGGGGGCUGAUGCCAGAGCUCAGGCCAGGAAUGACAGCCCCUAGACCAUGGCUGGGCAAUGGAGAUGGAGAAAAAGAAAUGAAAAGAGAACGCAAGGUCUGAUGUUAGAGAUCAAAGGAGUCUGCACUUUGGGGUCAGCUUGCCUGCCUUCGCAUCCCAGUGUCCCUUCUUACUACUGUGGGACAAACAGCCUCAGUAGCACCAAUAAAUGCUGCAUCAAACAAUUACUGAAUGAGGAGAUAGACUGGGCAGGGGAGGGGAUGGGGCUCUUCGAGGUGCGGCCCUGCUGUAUAGGCGAGGAAACUGUGUAUCUGCUGAGGGAGGUGCACCGCCCAAGGCGGCCAGCGAUCCAGGAACGGGAACAGCCUGGGCCGCUGGGGUGCGGGGCCCUCCGCGGCGCCCCCGUGUGGACCUGCCGCGGGAUGUCGGCGUUGGGUGCGUCCCGCUGACCGCCCGCGCUUCUGUCUGCGGGACCGUCCACAGCUGGAACGCGCACGGUCAGAGGCUGGGGAGGCGCUGAGUGCGCUGCGGAGGCUGCAGCGGCGCGUCUCCGAGCUGGAGGAGGAGUCACGCCUCCAGGACGCCGACGUGUCGGGUGCCUCGUUGCAGUCAGAACUGGCCCACAGCCUCGACGACGGCGACCAGGGCCAGGGCGCGGACGCACGCGGAGACGCCCCGACCACCCGGUCCCCAAAGACCCGAGAGGCGUCCAGCCCCCAGCCUUCACCCCCGGAAGAGAUCUUAGAGCCCCCCAAGAAGCGAGCAUCCCUCAGUCCAGCGGAGAUACUGGAGGAGAAGGAGGCGGAAGUGGCCAAGCUGCAAGAUGAGAUCUCGCUGCAGCAGGCAGAGCUGCAGUCCCUGCGGGAAGAGCUUCAGAGGCAGAAGGAGCUGCGGGCUAAGGAAGACCCUGGGGAGGCCCUGCACAGUGCCCUCUCAGACCGGGACGAGGCCGUGAACAAGGCCCUGGAGCUGUCCCUGGAGCUCAACCGCGUCUCGCUGGAGCGAGACUCCCUGUCCCGGGAGCUGCUGCGCGCCAUCCGCCAGAAGGUGGCGCUCACGCAGGAGCUGGAGGCCUGGCAGGUGAGGGGCGGGGCCCGUGUGCGGGGCUGGGCAGGGGGCGGGACCGGCGCUGAGCCGACCGCGGCCUCCCGCAGGACGACAUGCAGGUGGUGAUCGGGCAGCAGCUGCGCUCACAGCGCCAGAAGGAGCUGAGCGCCGCCGCGUCGUCGUCGACCCCGCGCCGUGCCGUGCCCCGCUUCUCGCUGCGCCUGGGCCCCGGGCCCGCCGGUGGCUUUCUCAGCAACCUCUUCCGAAGGACCUGACGGCUGGGCCCAGAGGGCUGCCCUUGCCCACUUAGGGGCUCACUUUCCUCUUCUGUCCAAUGGAGCGACAGGGCCCAGAUUGUCUUCCAAAAGGAGCUGAUGCCCUCCCCGCCCCAGGAUGCUGGGCAAGGGCUCAUCGGGAGCAGGGGCUCAUCCGGAGCAGGGGUCAGCUUUGUGGGGCAGGAGCCCCAGGUGGGUGGCAGGGGCAGGUGAACAGAGCUAUUUUCUGAAUCAAUAUAGGUCUAUCUUUCCUAGGGCAGGGAUGGGGCUGGGUAUUUAUGUAUCAAGAUAGGACAGAGUAAUAUAUAAAUCACUCCACCAAUUUGGUCCCCAUUCGUGGAAAGAAAGAGCAUGGUAAAAAAGCCUGAUACUUUAUUGUAAAAAAAAAAAAAGAAAAGAAAAAGAAAAUGAAAAACACUCUAAAACCCUGC
rnacentral:sRNA from 1 species